AUUGAACGCUGGCGGCAGGCCUAACACAUGCAAGUCGAACGAGUGGCGGACGGGUGAGUAAUGUCUGGGAACCUGCCCGAUGGCGGGGGAUAACUACUGGAAACGGUGGCUAAUACCGCAUACCAUCGGAUGUGCCCAGAUGGGAUUAGCUAGUAGGUGGGGGAAAGGCUCACCUAGGCAACGAUCCCUAGCGGGUCUGAGAGGAUGACCAGCCACACUGGAACUGAGACACGGUCCAGACUCCUACGGGAGGCAGCAGUGGGGAAUUUUGCACAAUGGGCGAAAGCCUGAUGCAGCCAUGCCGCGUGUAUGAUGAAGGCCUUCGGGUUGUAAAGUACUUUCAGCAAGGAGGCGGUACUCGCAGAAGAAGCACCGGCUAACUCCGUGCCAGCAGCCGCGGUAAUAC
rnacentral:rRNA from 1 species